GCUCCAAAGAGAAAUUAUGAAAACCUGGGACUAAAUCUGUGGCAGUGGGAAAGGAGAGAAGAGAAAAGACUGAAGAAAAGAGCAACAGGUGUUAGUGAUUCUGAUAAAGAGGAAACAAGCAAAGAGCAUUGGCAAGUAAGAGAAAGAGAGAAGAUAUAUGAACAUUAUGAUAUCUAGGACUCAGGUACUGUGUUCCUUUCGUCCACUUGGACUUAAUCUAAGAAUGUUAACUUACCCUUUGAGGCAGGAAUGACAUAGCAUUCAUGUCAUUGCAUCACUUUAAGGUCCAUAAAAGAA
rnacentral:lncRNA from 1 species